AUUGAGGUGACGUGGUGUUAGACCCGCGGGCCAAGGGACAGUCUUAGAUAGACAGUUUCUAUGGGGCGUAGGCCUCUCAAAAGGUAACGGAGGCGUACAAAGGUUUCCUCGGGCCAGACGGACAUUGGUCCUCGAGCGCAAAGACAGAAGAGAGCUUGACUGCAAGACUCACCCGUCAAGCAGAGAGAGGUCUCCGAAGACUUUUGCGUAAACGUCAACG
rnacentral:ncRNA from 1 species